CAGCAGCCACGGUAAUACGAAGGGUGCAAGCGUUAAUCGGAAUUACUGGGCGUAAAGCGUGCGUAGGCGGUUUGUUAAGUCUGUUGUGAAAGCCCCGGGCUCAACCUGGGAAUGGCAAUGGAUACUGGCGAGCUAGAGUGUGUCAGAGGAUGGUGGAAUUCCCGGUGUAGCGGUGAAAUGCGUUGAGAUCGGGAGGAACAUCAGUGGCGAAGGCGGCCAUCCGGGACAACACUGACGCUGAGGCACGAAAGCGUGGGGAGCAAACAGGAUUAGAUACCCCCGUAGUCCCUGUCUCUUAUAA
rnacentral:rRNA from 1 species